AAUCAGUUUCAUCUGAGACGCGCACUAUAACGGUCGAUAAAAUAGGAAUAAAUAAGAAUUCCCUAAAAAAAUAAGUUAAUGCGGUUUUGUUUUUCUUUUUCUCUCAUACUCAAAGUACAUCAGGAGCAAAACUAGUUGUUAAAGAAAAUUAAGUUAUUAUCCCAAAGAAAAUCAAAUAAAAAUUAAGCAAUUUUUUAAUCCCUCUCAAGUUUUAUUUUUCGAAUCUCUGUGUCGGUGAAUGUCCUGUUUUUUGUUUGUAUUUAAGUGCUUCUGCUGCAGGAUAAUUUUUCCAUGUGAUAUACACUGAGUGAAUUAUUUUGUGUGUGACCUAUAAAAAUAAGAACGGAAACGGAACCAAAGAGAGCGCGUAAAAAAUACAUAAUAUUGUUCUUUUUAUAUAUCCUUUAUCCUUACACUUACACCAUAUUGUGCAUAAUUUUUAAUUGUAUAUACAAACGUCAAAAUUUGUUUAUAACAGCAACACAAAAAUAUGUUAUAAAGUGUCACCGUCCUUGCAGUAGCAUCCUUUGAGCAACAGUACCUUCUCAUCAUGACAAGAAUUGUGGAUAUGCUCAUGCCCAAGCAAAUUGAAUUUUGUCUUUAAAUUUCAAACAAACCAAAAAAUAAAAAAGUUCAUCAUCCCACCCCAACGUUUCGUCACAUCAAAAUAAAAAACUAAUAAAUAUAAAAUAACCUACAACCAACAUUCGCAUGAAGGACAUCAUUUUCUUAAAGUUUUUAUUCAUUUUCGAACAAAAUAUCAAAAUAAAAAGAAGAAUAAAAUUCUCACAUAAAUUCUUAAGUAAAAAAUAAAAAAUAGAACAUUUUUGCAACAAGGAUACAUCUCUUCGGGCAAACUAAGAAAAAAGGACACUCGAACAGGCAGCCAAGUUGAGUUGAGUUGAAAGUGGGAUUUUAUUUCAUCCUUGAACACACAUUAUGAGCCGAGGAGUUUUUGUGUCCUGUGUGGUGGGUAGUUGGAUGCCAUCAUCUCCAUCAUCAUCAUCAUCCUCGUCCACAGGUGUUGGAAUACACUAAGAAGUCGAAGGAUACUCUUGUGCUCUAUCCUCUGUCCUCUUUCCCAUCCUCAAAAAGAGAGAUUUCAAGGAGCACUAUACGUCGUCGUCGUCGUUUUCGAGUUUUAAGGAGGAGACGUCGCCGUCACUCGUCUAACUGCUAAAUUCGGGUCUUAAGUGAUUUUCUUUUCUUAUUUUUAUUUCUUACAUUUCAUAGUUCAGUGUGUGGUGUAUUUUUUAUCACCCGUCGUGUUCUUUUAUUUAUUUUGUUUCCUUUUUUUCGGCAAAGUGCGAGCAACGUUAUAUUUUUUCGGUGUAAGAAAUGCCCGAACAGGAUAAUUACGACGAUGAGUUGGUAUCCGGAAAUACAAACCAGCGCAAUUGGCGCGGAAUUCUCAUAGCCCUGCUUGUCAUCAUAAUUGUUCUUGCCCUAAUUGUCACUUCAGUGGUCCUACUGACACCACCCGAUGAGGGGCCACGGGUCAAAGGUCAACGCAUCAAACUACAAGACAUCGUCGAUGGUGUAUACCUUCCCAAGCGUGCCAAUGGAACAUGGAUAAAUGCGGAAGAGUUUAUAUAUCAAGAUCAAUGGGGCAGAAUAAAUCUAUUGAAUGUUGCCAAUUUAUCGGCUCGAGUACUGAUGUCAAAUGUUACAUAUAAAACUCUCGCACCACAUACUUUUUCAAUUUCGGCAGAUAAAAGAUUUAUAUUGCUCGCGCAAAAUGUCGUCAAACUUUUCCGGCACUCGUAUUUGGCUCAGUACACAGUGUUUGAUAUUCAAACGAGUGAAAGCAUUAAAAUCAAAAUAGACGCACACGUUGAUGAAUGGCCGUAUCUGCAUUAUGCACGUUUCACACCAUCUGGCAACUAUCUGAUUGUCGUGUACAACUACGACAUCUAUUACAUUCCUGGACCGCGUUCGAACCAAGUUUAUCGGGUGACAAAGGAUGCAGUUCCAGGCGUAGUCUAUAACGGUAUUCCAGAUUGGCUUUAUGAAGAGGAAAUCCUACACACGAAUCACGCCAUUUGGAUGUCUGACGAUGGCCAUCUGAUGCUUUAUGGUUCGUUUAAUGAUUCAAUGGUGCAUGAACAGCAUUUUGCUUGGUAUGGAACGACAUCGAACGGUGGCAAUGCCAAUGCAUAUUUGUAUCCGGAAAUUAGAUCGUUAAGGUAUCCAAAGCCAGGGACACAAAAUCCUAUUGUCAAAUUACGUGUUGCUGAUUUAGCUGAUCCGAAGAAUAUUCGCAUUCGUGACAUAAAACCGCCUCAAGUUUUGAUAAACGAGGAUCACUAUGUAACAAGUGCGAAUUGGGUGAGUGAAACGGAAAUUUGCGUUGUUUGGCUAAAUCGACCGCAGAAUAUUUCUGUGGUAAGCGUUUGUAAGAGUCCUGUAUUUUUAUGCAUUGAGACUCACCGCAUCAGUGGCGAUGGUCGUGGUUGGGUUGACACAAUUUCAGUUCCUUUGUUUGCAUCAAAUGCUUCGUCCUAUGUCGCAAUAUCACCGUUACGGGAUGGAGCCUCAGGUUAUUUCCGUCACAUAGUGCAUGUGCAUGUGGCAAAGAAGAGAGUCCUUCCGAUUACCCAUGGACGAUAUGAGGUCAAACGGCUACUGCACUGGGAUCAGAUUCAUAAUUUCAUCUAUUAUCUGGGAACCCCAGAGAGUCUGCCAUCGCAACAGCACUUGUAUAGAGUAUCUGCAAUCCCACCACGGCUGGGAGCGCCACUCCAGGCACCCAAUUGUUUGACGUGUCCUCGAAAAGAGAAACCAAACGAAGAGACUCACACGAAGCCCCCACCGAAACUAGUCACGGCCUGGGACGACGAUUGGGAGGACUUAGAGCCGUUGACUUUCCCACCGCCAACACCGCCCGAAGCCGCCAAUGACAAAAAUAGAAAAAGGCCUUCUACGAACAGCAACUUAUCCGGGCCGACAGAAUGUCUCUAUCAUACGGCCAAGUUCCCCAAGACUUUGAGUGCUGAUUAUGUGCUGAUUGAAUGCUUAGGUCCAGUCAUUCCCACAAGCGGGAUUUAUUCUGUUGGCCGAUUUGCCAGUGGCAGGCCAUUGGAACUACUAAUGUCGGUGCAGAAUAAUACCCGGUUGCGAGAGAAAGUCGCCAAGAUAGCAUUGCCACAAAUCAAAACUUUUCCGGUCAUGAUUUCCGGCGGUUAUCAUGCCCAAGUUCGACUUUUCAUGCCACCGGUUUUGCGAGAGGACGAAAUAACUCGGUAUCCUACGAUUUUACACGUCUACUCAGGACCAGGAACGCAGUUAGUAGAGGACAAGUGGCACAUUGACUGGAAUACCUAUUUGGCUGGUACCAAAGAUUAUAUUGUGGUGCAAAUUGAUGGACGGGGAUCUAGUGGGCAGGGCUACCAGUUGUUGCAUGAAAUUUACAAAAGACUAGGAACUGUAGAAGUGUCGGACCAGUUGGAAGUCAGUGAGUAUUUGAGGGAUAAUUUGCACUUUAUUGAUGGCAGAAGGAUGGGUGUAUGGGGUUGGAGCUAUGGCGGGUAUACCUCAGCACUGGCAUUGGCGAGUACGCAGUCAAUUUUCCAAUGCGGAAUUAGCAUAUCACCGGUGACCAAUUGGAAAUUGUAUGAUUCCACAUACGCGGAACGCUACCUAAGCUUCCCCAAUGUCACCGACAACUACAAAGGCUACGAAGAAUCCGAUUUAACAAAAUAUGUUGACAACUUAAGAGAACGGCAAUUUUUGCUUAUCCAUGGCACAGCUGACGACAAUGUUCACUACCAACAAUCGAUGGUCCUAGCCAGAGCACUCACCGCCAAAGGAGUUCUAUACAAACAACAAAUCUAUCCUGACGAGGGUCAUAAUUUAUCGGGUGUUAAAAGACAUCUGUAUAGAUCGAUGACAAGUUUUUUCGAGGAUUGCUUCAAAAAACUGAGCUACCAGAAUGUGACCGAUGAUGGGGUGUCAGGAGAUUUUCUGGACUUUCAUAGAUUCUAUGCAGCCAAGUGAAUCCUGUAAAAAGAAAACACUACUAUAAUACCUCUACACAUACAAAAUACAUUACUAUAUAUCCAUACAAAGCCAAACAAAAAUAAAGGAUUUGAUUGAAAGUGUUGGUACGAUGCGCUGUGAUGGUGGUGGUGGUGGCGUUGGUGAUGAAGUAAAGUGAAGAGUAAAUAUUAUGGAAGUGACGAUACAUCAUCCAGGACGAUAGACAACGACAAGAAGGACUUUUUCGCAAAGUGCCCAAGUACCAACAACAACAAGAGCGAAGCUAACUACAACCCACAUAAACUAUCAUACUAUCUCCACUCUACACACCAAUCCUCCCUAAUUAUAUUAUUUAGGUUCCGCCAGAAUCAAAAGCUGGUCUUGGAAAUGGCGGUGAUAUGCAACAGCAAUAAAAUUUAAAAAUUUAGAUUUUUAAGCAGGUUCACAUUGUAUAAUUUUAAGUUCAAUCUAAAAAAAAAAAAAAACAUGAAAAGAAAAAUGCUCAAGACAACAAAAAAAAAACCGAAAAUGUUUUUAAAAUUUUUAAAAAUGCAAAAUAAUUCAAAAUAAUUAUAAACAAAUCUAUAAAACAUGGUUGUGAAUUCAUGAAAAAAAUAAAAUAAAAACCAAAUAAAGUGACAAAACAAUUACCAUAAAAUAUUAAAACAUAAAAAGAUAAUAUCCUUUAUCAAAAGUUACAAAAGAAAUUGAGAAAUUUGUUUUUAUCGAGUGUUGUCAAAAAACUGAAAUAAAUAAAAGUAUAAAAAUUGAAAUAGGACCAGAGAUGUUAUACCAAGAUAAAUUUUAAAAUAGAUCAAAUGUGUUAAUACAAAAUUUUGCUUUUUCACAACUAAUCCUUUCCCUUCAAACAAAUCUCUUAAAUAUUCUAAAAAAAAAACUUAAAGAACUUAAACCAAUCUUUAUGAUUUUAAUUUAUUUUCAUUUUUAUUGUAUAAGAUAUAAGAUAAAUAUCUCUUACUCUCCUUGGUGAUACUUAAGUGCCAAAAAAAAGAAAACUAAAACAAAUUUAAAUCUUCCCAAGACCUUUAAAAAAUUGUUUGUGUGUUCAUGGGAUUUUCAUAUUUUUAUUUUUUUUUACGGAUGUAGGUAUGUUUUCACAUUUUUCUUAUUUUUACUUUUUGUAGAACAAAAAUUGCAAUGAACAAAGCUAAUAUUUAUCAUGAAAGCGCAAAAAAGAACAUCAACCCCCCAAUUGAAUAUGCCAAUUUUUUGUUUUCGUUGCUUUUUGCACUGCUCAAAUUAAAUCCACCCUACUCAUGUUCAACCCUCAACAUAAAUAAUAGGGACGGAUUAAGUAGUAAGAAUACACAGAGGCAGAGGUGUAAGGGCGAUAGUUGUAAUUUUAUGAGACAUUGUUUUAAUUUUUUUUAAAUAAUGCAAAUUAGUUCGAAAAUCUUAAAAUAUAUACUCUGCAUCUUCGAAAAUUCGAAAAUUCAAAGAUCACACAUCGAAUAUCUUUUUCGAAACUAAAACAAUUUUCAUUUUGUUGAUUUUGCGUAUAAAGAUGACAUUUACCUGGACUUAAGGUGACAUUUCAGUUCUGUGUGAACUAGGGCCAAACUCCACAAAAUUCUCCAUCUAGCUCGGUCCCUAGCUAGAUGUCACCAGUUACGGAAGCUAAAUUUGGUGAGGCCACUUUCAACCUGUUCGCGCCACCUGAUCAGCGGUAUUCCUCUUCUAUGCUGUGAUGUGGAAACAAUAAGGUCACUCGAACACCGCCGCAAUGUUUCAUGUCUUUCUUUGUUCUACCGAUAUUUGUAUAAACAGUGCUCUGUCGAAUUAGCCAGUUGCACUCUCCCCCUCAAACAAUUCAGCCGUAAUACUCGUACUUCUAAGAAUGCUUAUCAGUUUACCCAUGAGCUCAGUUUCGGACGUACUGUCAAAUAUAUUGCUUUCUUAACUCAAAGACACACUGGUUAAAAAUAAAGCUUGAGAAGGCCUAGGCAGGGAUUGAACCCAAUGCCUCUGGCAUAACAGUCCAAUGCACUAACCAUAAAAACAGCGGCAAGGAAGAGUAAUUUUGAGUUGGAUUUCAGCGCUAGUGUUGUUUUUCUGCGUUCAAAGCGGACAAAGUCUUUAACAACCUCAAAGUUACUUGUGUCGAUGGUGACGUUUUGACCGAGGUUUCAGAGUUGUAAGCCUUUUCUUGAUGACAGCAUGUACUUUGUUUUACCAUUUAACGUUUAAACCCAUUUUUGCUGCUUUGCCUCAAUUCUCAGGAAAGACCCAUGGAAUCAUGCUCAGUUUUUCUGAUCAUUUCGAUAUCAUCAACAUAGCCCAGAUAUUGGACAGACUUAUGAAACAUAGUGCUUGUAGUGUUGAGGUUGGAGCUCUGCACUAUAAUUUUAAGGACAACGUUAAAGAAAUCGCAUGGAGCACUGCAAAUUCUCCAUCUUCAUCUGUCAAAAAACAGACUAUUUUAGAAGGGAUGCCACAACUAUGCAUGGCUCUAUACAGAUUGUCCCUGUAGAUGCUGUAAUAUGCGGCCUUGAAAUCGAUGAAUUGGUGGUGGGUGUCAAUUUAAUGUUCUUGAGUUUUUCGAGGAUCUGCCGUAAUGCGAAUAUUUGAUCAACUGGUCUGGAUCCAUACUUAUACAGACCUAUCAGAUUAUUGACGAUGAAGACGAUCUUAAGGUGGUACAGUUUAGAGGGUUCCUUCUUUUUCGAAGACAUAACAUGGUGCGCUUUAAAACCCUAAGAAAUCCCAAAAAUAUUCGAAUUGUAACUUAAGGGCCCUAAAGAAAUUUUAUAAUUUUGUCCUUACUACUCCUUCCCUGGUCAAUAGUCUUAUUUUAUUUUCCAUAAAAAAGCUGAAAAAAUAUCUAGAGGCUAUAGAAGGGUAAAAUAGGGGGUACACGCAAAUAAAAAAAAGAAGGAAAACCUAAGCGUUGUUAAUCCAUGAACGGUUAGUAAAGACUUGUACCAUUAAAUGGGGUUGAACUGUUCGAAAGAAAAGGCGUGAAAGCAUUUGAGUUGCAGGCCUUUUUGUCUUUUUUUCUUUUGCUGUAGCUAUGGUUAAAGGCAUUUAUAGGUAUGUGUGGUUUGGGUUUCGGGGUUGAGGUUGGUUGAUUUUGGAACAUAAAAUAGAAAACAUGAAUUGAAAUUUAUGAAGAACGAACAAACAUCAAUAUACUCGCAUAUAUACCAAACCAUACCGUACACAGUUAUAAUUCUUUUUAUCAUAUACAUUAAAAAUGUUAAUUAUAAUUGGAAUAACCACGUGCGCGUAGGUGGAUAUAUGUACCUUUUAGGUAUAUGUACAUGAGACUCUCUUUUUCGAAAUUUUAAUUUCAUAUUUCCAAAGGCUAUGUGAAAAGAGAUCAUCAACGAUGGCGACGAUAACUUCAAUGGGUUACUUAUUGCUUCAGAACAAAAAAAAGGCCGUCGUAUAAGUGGAAGGUUGUAUUCACAUAAUUAAUCAGUUUUUAUCCUUUUUUUUUUAAUUUAUAUGUAUUUUGGUUUUAGACCUAUGAACACUAAGCUAAUUUUAAUGUCUUUAUAGCUUAAAAAUAUAUUACCCGCAUUUCCAUUUCGUGCCUUUAGAGAAAGUUAGUAAAUUCUUAAAGUAUUUUUCAUUACCCUUUAUUUUGUUUAAAUUUUAAGUCCUUAAUCCACUUGUAGCGAUGUGAAUAUAUUAAUACGUUCCAUAUUUGUGCAUUUUCAAAAAUCUUUGAUAAAUUUUACAUUUGUGUUCUAAAACGUGAUUUUAUAUUUGUUUUCAAAAUAAAAACUGUAGAAUGUAGAUAAAGUGUAAGUCUCCAAGCCAAUUUAAUAGUCCACUUUGAAGAUAAUAUGUGGAACUCAUAUAAUCUGUUUCCCACUUGUCAUAACUUACAAAAUUGUGGAAAAAAGUUAAAUUCGAAAAGAAUGAAGUUAAAAAAUUCACAUUUCACAUCCUUAAGUUUUAACAAAAUACUAUGAAAUAAAUGUUAAACAGUAAAAAAAAAUUGUGGAACGUAUUUUUUAUCCUCACAAAGGUGAACAAGAGAAACAAUUACGAAAAAUAAACUUUUCACUCUUUCUAUCUUUAUCUCUCUCUAUCCCUUUCUACUCCUUUACCUUACACUUAAUUUAAAUUAAAUUAGAUGAUAAAUUGAAAAAAGAAAAUUUAAAAUCAAAAAUUAAAAUAAGGCAAAAUGUCAUAUGCAAAUAUGAAUUAGAUUAACACUGAAAAAUACGUGUGUGUUGUUCUUAUUAUUAUUAAAUUUAUAGCAAAACAAAACAAAAAUAGAGGACAAAAAUAAAACGUUGAUAUAGAGUAAUAAGAAAAUUAGAAAAAUUGUUAAGAACUUUUAAAUUCCAAACUUCCAAUAAAAAUUUCUAUUUUCAUCCUAGAAAUAUGCAAUCAUAAGAAAAUAAACUUAACCUCCCUUUAUUCAUUUAACCCUCUUCACCAAUUUCAACUUUUUAUGAAAAUAAACAAAACACAUAUAUGGAACACACAAGACACGUUGUUGUUAAUAGGAUAAUUGUAAGCAUGCAUGGAAAAUUGCAAAGCAUGAAAAGUUCCCCUAAUUUUUCCACCACUGGCAUUUUCAGUGUCAAAACAAAAAUGAUAUCUACUUUUUAUGGCUUUGCCAUUCUAAUUCUUUUAUAUCCCUCAGCAAAAACAAAAACAAAAAUAUAAGAAACAAAAAAUAAUAAAAACAAAGUAAGCAAUAAAAACUUUAUUCUAACAAAAAUAUUUAUUUAGUAUUAUAAUGAGAGAACACCUAAAAGUAUACCCCGUAAAGCAUAAUACAUAAAAAUAAAAAUGAAACAAGCAAUUUAACUUUUAGAGAAUAAAAUUUAAAAACAAAACAAAAAGAAACACUAUUCAUAAAAAAAUAAAAUUAAAAACCAUGACUGUAAAAUGUGUUAGAAAGUAGACAAAUUAUAUUAAUUUGAUUACUAAAAAAUAAAUUAAAAAAUGUACAUAAAUAAAUUUACAUUUAAACUUUAUAGAAAGAAAAAAUUUAAUAAUAAAGAGAAGAAAACUAUUUAAAAACAAAAAA